AAUACAAAACAGCAUGAUAGCAUGAUAGUAAUUAUGACUACAGCUUACCUUUGCGUCCAAGUUUUUAAUCAAAAUCAUGAACCCAUUCAACAGUCUUUUAGUGCCUAUUUUAAUGAAAAGCUAAACAUUGCACAGAUCUCAGAAGGAAGCCUUCUCCUCUUUUUGCACUCCUAACAACCUUUAACAUAAUGAAGUUUGACAAAUCGAUUUAAAAUGUAGUUGCAGGAAGAAGGGCAGGCAGGCUCUGCUCUGCCUUGUGGGUGUUGUAGUCUCUCUGCAGGCUCUUUGCCUCGGCAGCAAUAGGAAGCUGGACUCUAAUUCCCAUAUCUCCCGCUAGAGUCUCCUGCACAGGCUCAGAGCCCAUAUGCGAGGAGGGGGUGACCACAUUGUGUCUAUUGUAUGUUUUUUCUUCUUUUUUUUUUUUUAAUUUUUUUUUUUUAAUUUUCCCUUGGCGUUUUUUACGUUUUAUAAGAGAUUUAAAUCGGGAGUGAAAAGCAUGGCAGAUGAGCAAGAAAUAAUGUGCAAACUCGAGAGCAUUAAGGAGAUCAGGAAUAAGACUUUGCAGAUGGAAAAGAUAAAGGCACGACUGAAAGCAGAAUUUGAAGCCCUGGAGUCUGAGGAGAGGCACCUGAAGGAAUAUAAACAGGAAAUGGACCUGCUGCUGCAAGAGAAGAUGGCCCAUGUGGAGGAGCUGCGACUGAUCCACGCUGAUAUUAAUGUGAUGGAGAAUACUAUCAAGCAGUCUGAGAAUGAUCUUAACAAGCUCUUGGAAUCUACUCGUCGCCUGCAUGAGGAAUACAAGCCCCUAAAGGAGCAUGUAGAUGCUUUGCGAAUGACUCUGGGAUUGCAGAGGCUGCCAGAUCUAUGUGAGGAGGAGGAGAAACUGUCCCUUGACUACUUUGAAAAGCAGAAGGCAGAAUGGCAGACAGAGCCACAGGAGCCUCCCAUCCCAGAGUCUCUGGCUGCAGCUGCAGCAGCUGCCCAACAGCUGCAAGUGGCUAGAAAACAAGAUACCAGACAGACAGCAACUUUCAGACAACAGCCACCUCCAAUGAAGGCAUGUUUAUCGUGCCACCAACAAAUUCAUCGGAAUGCGCCCAUAUGUCCACUCUGCAAAGCAAAGAGUCGAUCCCGGAAUCCCAAAAAGCCCAAGAGGAAACAGGACGAAUGAAAUGGAGAAGAUUGCCAAGCUGUGUGACCUGUUCCAGUAAUCUUCCAGUAGAACUGCAAAUGUGCCCAGACUUUACUGAAGUGCAGAUUCAAGUGUGACCGUCUUAUUGUCUUCUAUUUAAUGCAAUAUAAGCACAAUGUUCCUGUUCUGUCUUAAGUUCCUUCCGGUCCUUAGGGUUUGGUUUUAGGAAAGUAAGUAUUACUGGUGCUACAGUUUAACAUUUCAGUUGUUCCAUCUUUUGGACUCCUAAACAAACUGAAAUUCUUUGUGCAAGUCAGGCUAUUUCUGUUGGCCAAAUGUGAUGACCACAAAUGCUUUUAUGUUCUCUCUUUAAAAACCAGAUGUUACUAAAAUUUCUUUUCUGUUUUCUCCUGAUAACAGGAGACUAUUUGAAGUGCUGAAAUGGCAGUCUGUUUGUUUCACUGAAAAACAAACAAUUUGUUUUCCAGGCUGGUAAGACUGCAUAGGUUUGUGUAGCCAGUAGAACUCUUUUAUACAGGAAACGUUUAGGGAAAACAAGAUAGGUUAUACAGAAAAUCAGUGCAUUAAGGACACACAUGAAUUUUGAUUUACUGGAGUUUGAUUGUACCAAUCCCUGAAACUGGACUUGAAACUUGGAAAGUUGAUGGCUGUGUAUGAAUUUCGAAAAAUUAUGUGAUUUUUCAGCAGUCAAAAGACCGACUGACUUAAGAACAAGGCUCAAGUGAACUGUAUUAGAGGUCCUCCUGGGCUCUAUGGCCAACCUGCACAUUGUGGUUCUCUAGGGAACAUGCAUGAAAUAUCCCAGAUCUCUGUGUGCAUAGACUGCAGCAUCAGCCAUUCUGCUGUCUUCCUGGCUUCUACAGCCAAAAUCUCCCCUGGCAGACUUAUCCUCCACAGGAGCAUAGGAAAGUUCAGUAACAUGCACGAGGAACAGUGUCAACUAAAAAUUAUGUAUUUCAGCAGAACCACUGGGCUUUGGUGUUGUCAUCCUCCCUUAACCAAAACUUUCUAUUUUUGUGUCUUUUAAUAGUCAUUUGCAAGUAAGCUUUACUUCAAGCCAGUGUUUUUCCUGCUCUCUGUGUGCCAAAAGAACCCUGACUAAGGCAUCUAGAGUAGACCCCUCCCUGGAUCCAUGUCUUCACUUUGUUUCACCCAAUGUAACAACAGUUCCUCCAGGGGAACUGGGGAGGAUGACAGUGACCCCCUUACAGAAACAGGGCUUAAAAUUUACUCAUUUCCAGUCCCAGUUUUGUCACUGCCUUCGUUGUCUAAAUCUUGAGUAUUAAAUAUUCUUUUCACUAACUUCAGGAAGCAGGAACUGCUUGUUCACAUUCUUCUCUCUUUAGCUCAAGUUCUUCUCUACUAUUAUGCUAGAGUGGUUAUAUUGAAAAUUUGGCUUGUUAAACAGGAAGAACAGGGCACUGGCAACUGUAAUAAAUCCACAUAAUGCAUUUUUGCUGGCCAAAUCACAUAUGCCAUCAUUAAUUUCCCAAGUCUGCCACAAAGUACAGGAGUGAUUUAUUGAAUAUAGUCCUGUAACUUAUGCCAAGUUCAUGAGGUAUUCUCUCAUUUUAAUGUUUCAUAGCCAUAUGAACAUCUGUCAACAGCAGAGACAGAAUGUGGACCGUGUGCCCCUGAAAUUAUGUGAAGAGCAGAUUCUGCUAGCUGAAUUACUGGGAUUUGGUCUCUCUGAGAUAGCAAUAAUGGAAGAUAGUCUGACUCCAUGCUCCAAAUGGCAGUAAUGCAUUAUGCAUAUCUUGUAGCACAGAUAGUGGAUUCUGCUGUUGAGUGUCAGUUGUCACAUGCUGUGUGCCCUGUUCAGAGCAGUUCCUAGCAAGUUGAAGGGAAAGCGUACACUAAGAUAAAAGUACGUGGACUCCCCCAAAGUACAUGCAUGAGAGCAGCAUACUUUGAUGGUAGUUGUACGUAAAUUUAAGAAGUAGUGACAAUGGAGCAGGCAAAUGGUCUGCAAUGAAGUAGUGUGAAUAGAAGGAUUGAUUUGUAGUAAUUUCAACUUAGAGUUCUGAAAUAGAUAGGGUUAGUCAUGGUUGUCUCACUUCACUGUUAAUUUACCAGGUUCUUUCUUUCUUGGGGGAUCUCUAAACUGAAGUAUGCUUAAGGAUGCACCACUUAACUGAUUUAGUACAACAGUUUUGUAUUUUUACUUUUUUAAACUAGUCUCUUGUGCUUUUGUGUUUAAGAAGGUUAGGUUUUUUUUUUUUAAAAAAAGUACUGUGUUUGCAUCAAUCAUGUACUAGUAUUUACAGAUUUGUUUGCACAUCCUUUACAAAGUUCUGCCAUAUGAGUAGCAUGCAUUGCUGAAAACGAGCAUAACUGAAGAUGAGUCAGCAGUGCCCUGGCAGCCAGAAGGGCCAGCUGUGUCCUGGGGUGCAUCAGGCCAGCAUCGCCAGCUGGUUGAGAGAGCUGAUUGUCUCACUCUACGCUGCACUGGUGAGGCCUUGAGUGCUGUGUGCAGUUUUGGAUGCCUCAGUGCAAGAAGAACAUCAGACUAUUAUAGUGUUCCAGAGGAGGAGGGUGACCAAGAUUGCAAAAGGUCUCAAGGACAAGACCUCUGAGGAGCGGCUCAAGUCACUUGGCUGGUUCAGUUUUGAGCAGAGAAGCCUGGGGGGUGUGCUCAUCACAGCCUACAGGUUCCUCAAGGGGGAAGCAGAGGAGGAGGUGCUGAUCUCCACCUUCUGAUGACCAGCCACAGGACAUGAGGAAAUAGAGUGAAGCUGCAUUAGGGGAAGUUCAGAUUGGACAUUAGGAAAAGGCUCUUCUUUGGGAGAGUGGUUGGUCCCUGGUACAGCAACCCAGGGAAGUGGUCAAGGCACCAAGCCUGUCAGAGUUCAAGGAGCACGUGGAUGACACUCUUAAUCAUAGAGUUUAAUGCCAGGUAGUCCUGCAAGGAGUGGGGGAUUGGACUUGAUGAUCCUUAUGGGUCCCUUCAAAUGUGAGAUGACCCUAACUAUUUCAAGGAGACAGAAUAUGUAUUAUGUAUUAAGGGAUCAUGGGGGUGGGAGCAGGGAGGGAGGUAGUGUCUUUCAUAAGGCAGGAGUAUUCUUUUCUCUCACAGAAUAAUGACAGAAGUUUAAGUGAAGAGCUCUUCUUGUGACAGCCCUGGGCUCUUUUCUCCCAGGCAAAUUUCUCCAGAGACUAGAGGAAUAAUUAUGAAAUAUUGAUUUCUUCUUUUUUAGACAGAGGAGGAAGCUGUCUGAAGUACAGUUCUCACCACAAGUCUACUGCAUUUUUGCUCCAUGGAUUUUUUUGCUCUUCUUUUGUAGCUAAGGUCUUUGUGGAUACUUCUUUGCUUGGCUUAAAUUUAUUCUAACUUGGGUUCCAUUCUCUUAAUAGUCACAAUGACACCUUCCACAAAGCUUGCAAGACUUUUAUAUUUACUAAAAUCUGGUUUAACCCUGUCUUUGUCAUUCCUUUUUAAAAUAACUGGAUCCUCCUGGUACAGAUGGUUUUCCAGGAUCUCCUCCUGAUUCCUCACUUGCCUCAAAUGAUAGUCCUGUUGUUCUGCAACCAGACACCACAAAACCCCCCCAAACAAAACAACAAAAUAAAACCCAAAAAAACCCCAAGGCUUUCACCCUGCCACCACUUUGAGCUCAUGGUAAUAGGAUGUGAAUGCUGUACUGUGUCUAAAUACUUUGUUACGGAAAUUUUCAUACCCAAGCUGGGAUACAUCAGUUUUUUAAACUUUGGUGCCAAGGACCCCACUAACUAUAGAGAAAAUAUAAGGCAAAUUUUAAUACUUGCACUUCCUGAAUUCCACUUUCACUUUCUAAACAGGACCUGACCUCACCUGACAGUGGCUUCAAGUUACAGAAACUAAAUUUGAAAGAAUAGACAUGGAUGUAUUAUCUAAACAGCAUGCUAUUAGAAAAAGUAAGACUUCACUAGCACUUUAAGUAAAGUGCUUUAUUCCUUUAUUUUGCAGUUUUCAAAUUUCUCCAGCAUAGGUUUACAUUUUAGAAUUUAUAUGUUUUAGCAAUAUCUGGUGUUUUCAUUGGUUUCUGUGUUUUAAAUAUUUUACUCCUGUGCCUUGUGGGAGUAACUGUUUAAUUUGUCUGUACAGUCCAUUUUAAUAAAUGUUUGUUUCAUGUCAUGCUUUCUUCCUGCACAUCUGUUAUUUUCUUAUGCUACCAAGAAGCAGCCAUCUCCCAAAUGGUAAGACUCAGCUGUCUUAAUUUUACAGGAUGCAAUUAGCCACAAUUCUGUUAUACCUUUACAGAAACUUUGUGGACAUAAAUAUGCAGAAAGAAAGAUCCCUUCUAAUCAGCUUUAGAAAACAGAAAGGAAAAGGAGAUAGUACAACAGGUUUUAACAUAGCCAAACUUCUCAGUUCUGCCUUCUAAAGUUAAAUUGAAAGUAGCAAUAAAUAUGAUUCCCUCUCCAACUUAAAGCAGAGGAUAGCUGUCUUCUCAAGAGUCCUGCUUUGUCAUUAGAUUAUAUCUACCAGUGCUUGCUAGAAGUUGCUUCUCUCAUCAGACUGGUGAGCACUCCUUAAUCCAACUCUCUCAGGAAUGCCCACAUAGGCUGUACACUGCUAGCAAAGGAGGUAACCUACUGCAUGGGAAUGAAAACAGUUUUGAGAAAAAAUGUAAUCCAUUGGCAUAGCUGGAUUCAGAGAAGAAUGUCUAUCCCAGACCUCACAGAGCUCAGAACCUGAGAUUGGUUAAAUAAAGGAAGCAUGAUUUUUUUUUCCAUAGGUAAUGUCUUCAAAUACAGAUAAACCACAAAAUCUAACAACUACCCUAAUCUUUCCUUGUACCAUAGUUAUUCCAAGACAAAACAAAUAAUUUUGGCUUCUGUUCAUUUUAUUUAGCAAUCUGAAUUGUUCAGAUUUUGAAACAUCCCUCAAUAAUUUCUGUUCAUCCAGAUGCUUUUUUCAUUCCUUAAUCCUAAUCCCAGCUGUAACAUUACUUAGAACAGUAGUCACAAAGCUAAUACACAUUCAUAGCUUCCUAAGAACUAACUCUGAAGUAUUCCCUAUAACUGACAUCAGCUUCAGUCAUAUUUGCCCAAGCUUAGCACGAUCCUGCCAUAAAAUGAGCUGCAAAACCCUGGAUCUUCCACAAUCUAAUAUUGAAGUGUAGCAUUAAAAAUCAUCUAAUAAUUUAAGGAAAAAAACAAAACAAAACAAAACAAAACAACAAAGCCCCAAAGCUUGUCUCACCCUUAAAACCACUACUUAAAAAUUUCUAUUGUGCUUUUCAGCCUUCACUGACCUUACUCCUAACUUCCCUCUCUUCCCCAAAACAGUAAAAAACCCGGAAGAUCAGUGAUAUCUACUUACUUGUGACCCAGUAAAGAUCUUCAGUGUUUUGCAGUACUUGAGUUUUUUUACUUAUUUUGUCCCAUUGCCUAAUUCUUUGUUCUUCACUCUCUUUUAAUUGACACUUUCAUAUAUUUAUCACUGAGACAAAACUGUCCUGGCUGUGUAACAAUAACUGAAUCCAAUAAACCUUGAAACUUCACCUGUUUGUUAGCUUUCCUCCUGUGGCUUGGAGUCUUGUGACCUGUGUCAGGUGGUGGGGUUUCUUUGAUUUGCCUUGGUAUUUCUCGAUCAAAUGACAAGGGUGGGUUUUACCACAGGAAAGAUUAAGGAGGUUUUAAGAAACGUUGGAGAGUGUUGUCUAAUGUUUCCAUCAGGGCAUCCAAGCUGUCUGCUGUCAGCUCAGAAAGGAAGGCAAGCUGCACGGUUAUUAUUGGCAAAGGGAUGAAAUAACGUUUAUUGUUGAUUUGGCACUUUAUCGUUCUUAAAAAUGAAGGAAAUACUUCUGAAAGGCGACGUCGGUCUUGCAGGACGUUUAUUUUUGCCAAUCUGCGCUCCGGGAGUCCCUGAGAUCCUUGGGGGUGAGUGUGGGGGGGCGCGGCUGCAGUGCCGCUCCCGGCCGUGUCCGCCAGGCGGCGACUGCGAGGCAGGGCCCGGCGGUCGGGGCGGGCUGGGAAGCGGCGCCUGCGCAGAGCGAGGCGUUGGCCGGGCCGGGCCUGGAGCGCUCGGGGCCGCCGGGCGGGGCAGUGGCGGUGGGGGUAAGAGCAGGUUUUAGGGAAGAAACGCCUGUAGACAGGGAAAAUCAUUGACUUGGGUCCAGCAAUGCCAAAUGUGUUGGGGUGUGAGCAGCCAAAGCAAAAGGCUCCAGCCCCACCGACCGGUGCUGGGGGCACCUGGUGCUGCCCGUGGGGUGGGGGGUGCAGGGUCUGAGGGAUUGGAUUUCCCUGGGGGUUUGCAGGAGACCAGGAGUGAGAGGAAACAUGGUGCCAGAGCAGGCUGUGUUUGCCUCUGAGGACAGAGAGCCUGUGGGCUGAGAAUUGCCACGAGAGGAAAUACUUCAGAGGGGCUUCCCUCCAGCUAAGCCCUGAAUAUGCCAGGAGGUUUCAGCCGGGAGGAAAGGAGCUGUGGAAGAAAAGCAGCCUAAAAAUAGCCAGCGGGGAUCAUCAGGUUUUCCAGCCAAGAAGAACAAGGAGAGAGAUGAGGGAAUCGGGUUCCAAUUCCUAAUGAUUUGGUGGGUGCAGGAAUGAUUUUUGUGUGUUUUCCAGUCCCUUUUGAUUCCUGAGAUGAUUUGAAAAUGAUGGCUUUAGCAAUCAACUAAAUCGGAGAUGUUGUUUUUGAGAGGAAAUGAUGCCAAAUAAAUGCAGAGUUUUGGGUCA